rnacentral:rRNA from 1 species
GACAGAGGGUGCAAACGUUGUUCGGAAUUACUGGGCGUAAAGCGCGUGUAGGCGGCUCUGCAAGUCGGAUGUGAAAGCCCUCGGCUCAACCGAGGAAGUGCACCCGAAACUGCAGAGCUAGAGUCUCGGAGAGGAUCGUGGAAUUCUCGGUGUAGAGGUGAAAUGCGCAGAUAUCAGGAAGAACACCCGUGGCGAAGGCGGCUCUCUGGGCCACUACUGACGCUGAGAAGCGAAAGCAUGGGGAGCGAACAGG